GAUGAACGCUGGCGGCGUGCCUAAUACAUGCAAGUCGAGCGAACGGACGAGAAGCUUGCUUCUCUGAUGUUAGCGGCGGACGGGUGAGUAACACGUGGAUAACCUACCUAUAAGACUAGGAUAACUUCGGGAAACCGGAGCUAAUACCGGAUAAUAUUUUGAACCGCAUGGUUCAAAAGUGAAAGACGGUCUUGCUGUCACUUAUAGAUGGAUCCGCGCUGCAUUAGCUAGUUGGUAAGGUAACGGCUUACCAAGGCAACGAUGCAUAGCCGACCUGAGAGGGUGAUCGGCUACACUGGAACUGAGACACGGUCCAGACUCCUACGGGAGGCAGCAGUAGGGAAUCUUCCGCAAUGGGCGAAAGCCUGACGGAGCAACGCCGCGUGAGUGAUGAAGGUCUUCGGAUCGUAAAACUCUGUUAUUAGGGAAGAACAUAUGUGUAAGUAACUGUGCACAUCUUGACGGUACCAAAUCAGAAAACCACGGCUAACUACGU
rnacentral:rRNA from 1 species